GAUGAAGAACGUAGUGAAAUGCGAUAAGUAAUGUGAAUUGCAGAAUUCAGUGAACCAUCGAAUCUUUGAACGCACAUUGCGCCCGGCAGUAAUCUGCCGGGCAUGCCUGUCCGAGCGUCAUUUCUACCCUCGAGCGAGUCCAGCAUCUAGGUGCUGGGCCCGCCCGGCGUUGGAGCACUACGGGAAGCCCUGUGCUGUCCCCCGUAGGCCCCGAAAUGAAGUGGCGGUCCUGCCGCGGCGCCCCCUGCGUAGUAUAACAGCUCGCUUCGGGACCCGGUGGAGGCCUGCCGUCAAACCUAUACUCUCUAAGUUUGACCUCGGAUCAGGUAGGGUUACCCGCUGAACUUAAGCAUAUCAAUAAGCGGAGGA
rnacentral:misc_RNA from 1 species